rnacentral:rRNA from 1 species
UACGUAGGGAGCGAGCGUUGUCCGGAAUUACUGGGCGUAAAGGGUGCGUAGGCGGCGAUGUAAGUCAGAUGUGAAAUCCCCGGGCUCAACUCGGGGGGUGCAUUUGAAACUACAUUGCUUGAGUGCAGGAGAGGAAAGCGGAAUUCCUAGUGUAGCGGUGAAAUGCGUAGAUAUUAGGAAGAACACCAGUGGCGAAGGCGGCUUUCUGGACUGCAACUGACGCUGAGGCACGAAAGCGUGGGGAGCAAACAGG